rnacentral:lncRNA from 1 species
UUUAAAAUUGCACUAUUGGAUGAGUAUAUACAAAAAUUAGAAUUAUUAGCCAAUUAUAAUAGUUUAAGUGACUGUGCUAGAACCACGGAAUCUGAUAGUGCCUAACACCUUCCCUCGGGUCAACAGAAUUCCUUAUUCAGAAUUUCUUGCUCGCAGACUUCACAUGGAAAGUCGAAAUUUUUCUCGAUUUGGGAUUCAAAAUAAACCGGUGACUUGGGACACCAAAAACUAUCCCAAGUGGCGACUCUGAAUAAAUUGAAUAAUAAUCUCAUUUCGAAUAAUGUCACUUUAAUUAAAAAAAUUCCAUUAUACGUG